rnacentral:lncRNA from 1 species
UAAGGCUUAAAUUAAAAUAACUCAUAAAAAAUAUCUGACACAUUUCCAACUAAGUAAUGUGUAAACCCCUAAAAACUAUUAUGAUGUAUACUUUUCACUAUUUAAUCCCAGGUUCAAAAUGGUGUUUUAUGCCUUUUAAAUAUUCUUUGGUGUCAAAAAUCAAGAGCCAAUUAAAGGAGCACAGCUAUAUCAAGCCAGAAGAUUCAAGAACUAGAUACCUAUUCCUGAUGGUCCCAGGAGAGUUGACAUUUCACACUGAGAUGGAUCAAAUACAUGAAGUUCGUUGGAACUUCUCUUCAUGUGAAGAGGGACAUCUUGGCUUGAGGAGGGUAAUUUUAAAAGCUUGAGUUCAUGCAACCUGACUGCACCAAAGACUCAUGGCAAUAUUUGUUACACCCAAUGGUAAGUUCAAAGCAGUUCUUAUAUAUUUUAAGAAUUUAGAAGACUAACAGAAUUAAGGUUGACCCUAAGUAAAAAUUUUGGUUUCUCAAUCAUAGGCAAAGAAUGACAGCAACGACUAAAACUUUAGUUAUAAUUUUGUAGCUAUAGAGAGGACGAAGGUCCCAUUAUUGACUAUAUGCAUUUUAUUUGAGUGUGUAGAUUUUUAACUGAAUGCUUAUAAAGUUCAUGACAUAAUACCAGUCACAUUUAUACAUUAUUUCUAAUUCUUAUGAUUAUGCCAAAUAAAUAUUUUACAGAUGAGGUGAAGUAUCAGAGAACUUAACUUUUGUACAAGACCACACAAUUAGAAAAGAAAAAUUUAAACUCACUAAUAUUCCCUAGUAAUAAGUAAUAUGUUUUGGAAAUCUUUAAAUCUAUGAAUUCUAAACACUAUUAUAAUUCUUUCUCUCUGUAAUUUUAUUUAUAUCAGAAUUAACUUGUAGUCCAUGUUUGUUCUCUUUAUAAUAAAAAUCAUCUCUCACAUAAGUACUAGGUAAUGUGGAAUAAUAAAAAUAUUAAGUAAUGAUUUUAUUAAGUAAUGAGUAAAUAAGGAGAUUGUCACAGAAUGUGCUCUGAAUAAGGAUCUAGAUUCUUUUUUUAAAAAAAAGAUUUUAUUUAUUUGUUUGAGAGAGAGAGAGCAUGCAAGCGAGAGAGCACAAGUGGAGUGAGGGGCAGAGGGAGGAGCAGGCUCCCCUGCCAAGCAGGGAUCAAGUGAGACUUGAUCCCAGGACUCCAGGAUCAUGACCUGAGCCAAAAGCAGAUGCCCAAUCGAUUGAGCCACCAGUGCCCCAGGAUCUGGAUUCUAACUGCAGGUCUGCCGCAGGGCUUUAACACCUUAAUCUUCAGAACAAGGGAGAUAGACUGGACAAUCUUUGGGACUUUACCAGGCCAAACAGUCCAGACUUGCACUUGACAUUGUGUUUAUCAUGUUAACCAGCUGGCUAUCCCAUUCAGUGAGAGCAUGCUAUCCACGUGGCUAGGUUCUUGAUUCAAUUUAGAAGUUUCAUUCUGUUCCAAGGGUCAUGGACACCACCUCUGACUCAUGUCAUAGCUUCUAGCUGAAGGCAAGCAAGGAAUGUGGAUUUCUUAUGGCAAAUUCGGGGGGUGGGGCAAAAUGGCAGAAGAGUAGGGUCCCCAGGUCACCUGUUCCCACCAACUUACCUAGAUAACUUUCAAAUCAUCCUGAAAACCUAUGAAUUCGGCCUGAGAUUUAAAGAGAGAACAGCUGGAAUGCUACAGAGAGAAGAGUUUGUGCUUCUAACAAGGUAGGGAGACGGAAAAAAAAAAUAAAAAAGAAUCCAGUGGGGGAUGGACCCCCAAGAGGAGCCGGGCUAAGGCCGGGCAGCGAGAUCCUCCAGGACAGGAAAGCCCAGUCCCGGAGAAGCAGGAACUUUAACAGUCUUCUUAUGGCAAAUUCAUUUGCUCUGUUGAAAGUACACAUUAAUGGUAUCUUCACAUAGCAAAGGAAACAUACUAUUUUUAAAGUGGUCCUUGCCAAUGCAGCUCCUUUAGUGUGCAAGAACCAGAAGGAGUCUAGCAUCAGAAAGAAGGGGGUCACAUACUUUCAGGAAUGAAAAGUUUUGUAACAUGAAGUAGUGCUCUGCAAGGGUCAUGGUUGGGAGCUUCGGGAACUCAGCAGCAACUGGAGCCCAGAUGCAUAAAAAGGCAGGCCUGAGCCACUAGUGCAUCCAUGGGCAUGAUUGUGCCUAAAGCAGGCUCUUCUUCUAUGUGACAUUAGUUGCAUCGCCUCAGUGGUUUUGUGAACCAGAGAUAUGUGCACACCUUGGCACAUACACAUAUGAUGGCCAAUACACACUCCUGUGUUUUUCAACCCCUAUCCUGCAGACAAAGAGACAGAAUGGGGAUUUAUCCUCAUGAGAGGUAGUUCUCAAACUCACAACAUGGUUUUGCUUUUGGUGCAGAAAUAAUAACUUGCCUAUACUCUCUCACCACUGAAAUAUUGAAUAAAUGAAUGAAUGGAAUAAUUUUUAUCUCCAAGUAUUUGGCAUUUUGUAUGAUCUUAAUUUAAAAUCCAUUUGUGCUUAAUAUUUAUGAUAUAGGUAGCAAUUAGGUUUUGAGAGCAGAUAUUGCAUUCAUCUUUGAAUAAUGGACAAGGGAAUUGUGCCUUGGAUUUUCAUAAAUUAAAACAUGCUGACAUGCCUUAUUUCUAGAGAAAGGAAAACAUGCUGUUGGACAUUCUCUGCAUAUUUAGAC